GACGAACGCUGGCGGCGUGCUUAACACAUGCAAGUCGAACGGAAAGGCCCUGCUUUUGUGGGGUGCUCGAGUGGCGAACGGGUGAGUAACACGUGAGUAACCUGCCCUUGACUUUGGGAUAACUUCAGGAAACUGGGGCUAAUACCGGAUAGGAGCUCCUGCUGCAUGGUGGGGGUUGGAAAGUUUCGGCGGUUGGGGAUGGACUCGCGGCUUGUCAGCUUGUUGGUGGGGUAGUGGCUUACCAAGGCUUUGACGGGUAGCCGGCCUGGGAGGGUGACCGGCCACAUUGGGGCUGAGAUACGGCCCAGACUCCUACGGGAGGCAGCAGUGGGGAAUGUUGCACAAUGGGCGGAAGCCUGAUGCAGCAACGCCGCGUGCGGGAUGACGGCAUUCGGGUUGGAAACCGCUUUCGCCUGUGACGAAGCGUGAGUGACGGUAAUGGGUAAAGAAGCACCGGCUAACUACGUG
rnacentral:rRNA from 1 species